UAGGGAAUCUUCCGCAAUGGACGCAAGUCUGACGGAGCAACGCCGCGUGAGUGAAGAAGGAUUUCGGUUCGUAAAACUCUGUUGUUAGAGAAGAACAGCGUAUAGAGUAACUGUUAUGCGUGUGACGGUAUCUAACCAGAAAGCCACGGCUAACUACGUGCCAGCAGCCGCGGUAAUACGUAGGUGGCAAGCGUUGUCCGGAUUUAUUGGGCGUAAAGCGAGCGCAGGCGGUCAAUUAAGUCUGAUGUGAAAGCCCCCGGCUCAACCGGGGAGGGUCAUUGGAAACUGGUUGACUUGAGUGCAGAAGAGGAGAGUGGAAUUCCAUGUGUAGCGGUGAAAUGCGUAGAUAUAUGGAGGAACACCAGUGGCGAAGGCGACUCUCUGGUCUGUAACUGACGCUGAGGUUCGAAAGCGUGGGUAGCAAACAGG
rnacentral:rRNA from 1 species